rnacentral:rRNA from 1 species
UGCGCAGGCGGUGGCUCAAGUCAGAUGUGAAAUCCCCAGGCUUAACCUGGGAAUUGCAUUUGAAACUAAGUCGCUAGAGUUUGGCAGAGGGGGGUGGAAUUCCACGUGUAGCAGUGAAAUGCGUAGAGAUGUGGAGGAACACCGAUGGCGAAGGCAGCCCCCUGGGCUAAAACUGACGCUCAUGCACGAAAGCGUGGGGAGCAAACAGGAUUAGAUACCCUGGUAGUCCACGCCCUAGACCAUGUCAACUAGUUGUCGGGAGAGCAAUCUCUUGGUAACGCAGCUAACGCGUGAAGUUGACCGUCUGGGGAGUACGGUCGCAAGAUUAAA